rnacentral:tRNA from 1 species
UCCUAUUGGCUUAGAUGGUGAAGAAUCUGCCUGCAAUGCAGAAGACCUGGGUUUGAUCCCUGGCUUAGGAA